UACGAAUGGGGCAAGCGUUGUUCGGAAUCACUGGGCUUAAAGCGUAUGCAGGCGGACUCGCAAGUCAGAAGUGAAAUCCCUGGGCUCAACCCAGGAAUUGCUUUUGAAACUGCAAGUCUAGAAUCCCGGAGAGGUUGGCGGAAUUCCGAGUGUAGAGGUGAAAUUCGCAGAUAUUCGGAGGAACACCAGUGGCGCAAGCGGCCAACUGGACGGGCAUUGACGCUCAGAUACGAAAGCGUGGGUAGCAAACAGG
rnacentral:rRNA from 1 species